rnacentral:rRNA from 1 species
GUGAACGCUGGCGGUAGGCCUAACACAUGCAAGUCGAACGGCAGCACAGUAAGAGCUUGCUCUUACGGGUGGCGAGUGGCGGACGGGUGAGGAAUACAUCGGAAUCUACUUUUUCGUGGGGGAUAACGUAGGGAAACUUACGCUAAUACCGCAUACGACCUACGGGUGAAAGCAGGGGAUCUUCGGACCUUGCGCGAUUGAAUGAGCCGAUGUCGGAUUAGCUAGUUGGCGGGGUAAAGGCCCACCAAGGCGACGAUCCGUAGCUGGUCUGAGAGGAUGAUCAGCCACACUGGAACUGAGACACGGUCCAGACUCCUACGGGAGGCAGCAGUGGGGAAUAUUGGACAAUGGGCGCAAGCCUGAUCCAGCCAUACCGCGUGGGUGAAGAAGGCCUUCGGGUUGUAAAGCCCUUUUGUUGGGAAAGAAAAGCAGCAGGUUAAUACCCCGCUGUUCUUACGGUACCCAAAGAAUAAGCACCGGCUAACUUCGUG